rnacentral:rRNA from 1 species
AGCUCUCCGAGUGGUAGGGAUGAUUAUUGGGCUUAAAGCGUUCGUAGCCGGCCCUGCAAGUCUCCCGUCAAAUCCAGCGAUUCAAUCGUUGGGUCGCGGGAGAUACUGUUGGGCUUGGAGGCGGGAGAAGCCGACGGUAUUCCCGGGGUAGGAGUGAAAUCCUGUAAUCCCGGGAGGACCACCGGUGGCGAAGGCGGUCGGCUAGGACGCGCUCGACGGUGAGGAACGAAAGCUGGGGGAGCGAACCGGAUUAGAUACCCGAGUAGUCC